rnacentral:rRNA from 1 species
GACGAACGCUGGCGGCGCGCCUAACACAUGCAAGUCGAACGGAGUUACAUUGAAAGCUUGCUGGAUAUGUAACUUAGUGGCGGACGGGUGAGUAACACGUGAGUAAUCUGCCUUCCAGAGGGGAAUAACGUUUGGAAACGAACGCUAAUACCGCAUAACGUGCGGUCCUCGCAUGGGGACUGUACCAAAGAUUUUAUCGCUGGAAGAUGAGCUCGCGGCCGAUUAGGUAGUUGGUGAGGUAACGGCCCACCAAGGCGACGAUCGGUAGCCGGACUGAGAGGUUGAACGGCCACAUUGGGACUGAGACACGGCCCAG